rnacentral:misc_RNA from 1 species
ACGUGUCUCCGACGGGUGCGGCGCGCCCCGCUCCGGCCGGUUCGGCCGUGCAGCGGGUGGGUCGUCCCGUCGAUCCCAACCACCAAACCACUGUGAACCUUCACGGCGGAGGGGGCCCUGGACCCGUUUCAGGGGCCGAGCCCCCGAUGCCGCACACUGCAAACCCCCCAGUCUAACGAAUGUCGUGCGGACGCUGUGCCGCCUAAUACACGCGUGA